GUGGGGAAUCUUCCGCAAUGGACGAAAGUCUGACGGAGCAACGUCGCGUGAGUGAAGAAGGUUUUCGGAUCGUAAAGCUCUUUCGUUAGGGACGAACGUGCUCUUUGUGAAUAAUGAGGAGUAAUGACGGUACCUAAAUAAGAAGCCACGGCUAACUACGUGCCAGCAGCCGCGGUAAUACGUAGGUGGCAAGCGUUGUCCGGAAUUAUUGGGCGUAAAGCACGCGCAGGCGGGAUAUCAAGUCUGUCUUAAAAGUGCGAGGCUCAACCUCGUGAGGGGACAGAAACUGGUAUUCUUGAGUGUCGGAGAGGAAAGUGGAAUUCCAAGUGUAGCGGUGAAAUGCGUAGAGAUUUGGAAGAACACCAGUGGCGAAGGCGACUUUCUGGACGAUGUCUGACGCUGAGGCGCGAAAGCUAGGGGAGCGAACGGGAUUAGAUACCCCUGUAGUCC
rnacentral:rRNA from 1 species